rnacentral:rRNA from 1 species
AUACUGCAAGUCGAGCGGACUUUUAAAGCUUGCUUUUGAAAGGUCAGCGGCGGACGGGUGAGUAACACGUGGGCAACCUGCCUGUAAGACUGGGAUAACUUCGGGAAACCGGAGCUAAUACCGGAUAAUAUAAGGAACCUCCUGGUUCUUUAUUGAAAGAUGGUUUCGGCUAUCACUUACAGAUGGGCCCGCGGCGCAUUAGCUAGUUGGUGAGGUAAUGGCUCACCAAGGCGACGAUGCGUAGCCGACCUGAGAGGGUGAUCGGCCACACUGGGACUGAGACACGGCCCAGACUCCUACGGGAGGCAGCAGUAGGGAAUCUUCCACAAUGGACGAAAGUCUGAUGGAGCAACGCCGCGUGAGCGAUGAAGGCCUUCGGGUCGUAAAGCUCUGUUGUUAGGGAAGAACAAGUGCGAGAGUAACUGCUCGCACCUUGACGGUACCUAACCAGAAAGCCACGGCUAACUACGUGCCAGCAGCCGCGGUAAUACGUAGGUGGCAAGCGUUGUCCGGAAUUAUUGGGCGUAAAGCGCGCGCAGGUGGUCCUUUAAGUCUGAUGUGAAAGCCCACGGCUCAACCGUGGAGGGUCAUUGGAAA